AUCUUCUUGUGUCCUGAGGAAUGUACCUAGAAGAGCUGCACCUUCAUUAGUCAUUCCACCUUGGUCCUGUCUAGAAUCUACUUUGUAAUGUCAAACUGAAGUAUCAGAAAAGGAUUUGGAGCAUCAAAGGAAACGUUUUUGACUAAGAAACAAGGGAUUAUGACUGGAACUAUUCUGCAGCAGUAAGUAACACCAAAUCAGUACUCUGAUCAUAAACUAAGCCCAUCACUAUUGUUCAAUUCUGCCACAGCCAUUUAU
rnacentral:lncRNA from 1 species